GAGUGAAGGCAGGCCCAGGGGAGAGUCCAUGGAGAAGGAAGGCCACCCCCACUUCUCUCUGGGGCAACCAGAAGACCCAACUCUGAAGAGAGGCAGCCCUAGAGGGCCCCUCUGCAGGCUCACUCUGCUCCGUCUCCAUCGAGAAGGCACUGCCUGAGGACAGAGGCUUAUACAAGUGUGUAGCCAAGAAUGACGCUGGCCAGGCUGAGUGCUCCUGCCAAGUCACUGUGGACG
rnacentral:sRNA from 1 species